rnacentral:tRNA from 1 species
UUGUUUAUAGUUUAUUUAAAACUUAUGGUUUACAUCCAUAAACAAUUUAAUUUAA